rnacentral:rRNA from 1 species
UGGGGAAUAUUGGACAAUGGGGGGAACCCUGAUCCAGCCAUGCCGCGUGUGUGAAGAAGGCCUUAUGGUUGUAAAGCACUUUAAGCGAGGAGGAGGGUACUGGUAUUAAUACUACCAGGUACAGGACGUUACUCGCAGAAUAAGCACCGGCUAACUCUGUGCCAGCAGCCGCGGUAAUACAGAGGGUGCAAGCGUUAAUCGGAAUUACUGGGCGUAAAGCGCGCGUAGGUGGUUCGUUAAGUUGAAUGUGAAAGCCCCGGGCUCAACCUGGGAACUGCAUCCAAAACUGGCGAGCUAGAGUAGGGCAGAGGGUGGUGGAAUUUCCUGUGUAGCGGUGAAAUGCGUAGAUAUAGGAAGGAACACCAGUGGCGAAGGCGACCACCUGGGCUCAUACUGACACUGAGGUGCGGAAGCGUGGGGAGCAAACAGG